GAUGAAGAACGUAGCGAAAUGCGAUACGUAAUGUGAAUUGCAGAAUUCAGUGAAUCAUCGAGUCUUUGAACGCACAUUGCGCCCUCUGGUAUUCCGGAGGGCAUGCCUGUCCGAGCGUCAUUGCUGCCCUCAAGCACGGCUUGUGUGUUAGGCCCCGUCCUCCGCUCGCGGGGGACGGGCCUGAAAGGCAGCGGCGGCACCGCGUCCGGUCCUCGAGCGUAUGGGGCUUUGUCACCCGCUCUGUAGGCCCGGCCGGCGCCUGCCGAUCAACCACACUUUUAUUCAGGUUGACCUCGGAUCAGGUAGGGAUACCCGCUGAACUUAAGCAUAUCAAUAGCGGAGGA
rnacentral:misc_RNA from 1 species